rnacentral:rRNA from 1 species
GAAUAUUGCGCAAUGGGGGCAACCCUGACGCAGCCAUGCCGCGUGUGUGAAGAAGGCCUUCGGGUUGUAAAGCACUUUCAGUGGGGAGGAAAGCCUCAGGGUUAAUACCCCUGGGGGGUGACGCUACCCACAGAAGAAGCACCGGCUAAUUCCGUGCCAGCAGCCGCGGUAAUACGGAAGGUGCGAGCGUUAAUCGGAAUUACUGGGCGUAAAGCGCGCGUAGGCGGCUUCGUAAGUCGGGUGUGAAAGCCCCGGGCUCAACCUGGGAACGGCACUCGAUACUGCGGAGCUCGAGUACGAGAGAGGGGGGUGGAAUUCCAGGUGUAGCGGUGAAAUGCGUAGAGAUCUGGAGGAACACCGGUGGCGAAGGCGGCCCCCUGGUUCGAUACUGACGCUGAGGUGCGAAAGCGUGGGGAGCAAACAGG